AUACGGAGGGUGCAAGCGUUAAUCGGAAUUACUGGGCGUAAAGCGCGCGUAGGCGGCUGAUUAAGUCGGAUGUGAAAUCCCUGGGCUCAACCUAGGAACUGCAUCCGAUACUGGUCAGCUAGAGUUUUGGAGAGGUAAGUGGAAUUUCCGGUGUAGCGGUGAAAUGCAUAGAGAUCGGAAGGAACACCAGUGGCGAAGGCGACUUACUGGCCAGAAACUGACGCUGAGGUGCGAAAGCGUGGGUAGCGAACAGGAUUAGAAACCCUAGUAGUCC
rnacentral:rRNA from 1 species